GGGCCGGUGGCCGAGUGGCUGAAGGCGCUGGAUUGCUAAUCCAGUAUACGGGGAUACUCGUAUCGCGGGUUCGAAUCCCGCCCGGUCCG
rnacentral:tRNA from 1 species